UACGGGGGGGGCAAGCGUUGUUCGGAAUCACUGGGCGUAAAGCGCACGUAGGCGGCUUCUUAAGUCAGGGGUGAAAUCCUGGAGCUCAACUCCAGAACUGCCUUUGAUACUGAGAAGCUUGAGUCCGGGAGAGGUGAGUGGAACUGCGAGUGUAGAGGUGAAAUUCGUAGAUAUUGGGAAGAACACCAGUGGCGAAGGCGGCUCACUGGCCCGUAACUGACGCUGAGGUGCGAAAGCGUGGGGAGCAAACAGG
rnacentral:rRNA from 1 species